UCUAUUUCGAAUCACGAUUUUCAUUCUAGAAAUCGUUCAUUUUGCUUGUAGAUCACUCAAUUUGACAUGGUAUCAGAGCAAAUCCUGGAUAUCUGCAUCGUCCUCUCCACAGUCAACGGUGAUUUUUUUUUCCGGUGGUCGUUUCAUUUCAUCUUUCGGCGGUCUCCGGUGAUCGGCGUUUUCAUUCAUUCUCCCACUACAAAAAAACGGGUAAAUUACGGAGGUUUAUUUGCGGAGGGUAUAAGUAACCUCCGCAAUUUGCAUAAUUUUGCGGUAAUAUAUUAGCCCCACAAAAUUAUACAAUUUACGGGGGUCUAAAACAUCCGCAACCCUAAAAUAAUAGCGGGUCAUUUAUUUCACGCUCCCUCCAUUUUUUCCCAAUCUUUUUCGCCCAAGAAACUUCGGCCUCACAACAAAAAAAUACUCCUUUCCUUCUUCUUCUUAAUCGAAGUUCUCCGCUUAAUGGUUUUACACAUCCAUUAAUCGAAGUUCUUCGCUUCUUCUUCUUCUUCUUCUUCUUCUUCUUCUUCUUCUUCUUCUUCUAACUUCUCUUUUCCUCUUCAAUCGCCACCGCUUUUACACCUCCCAGGAAAAAAAUGAGCUAGUAGUGAGUGAAAGUACAGUGGAUGAGUCUGAAAUUUCUCCAAAUGAUGUUGUUGGUAAGGUGAUAGGCAAAGAACAUCCUGGAAGGGUGAGAUGUUUGGGAUUAGGAGCUACUCCAAGCAAUACUUUCAGAGAGACAAAUCUUCAUCUUGGUAAUAUUAGAAUUAUGAGUAAUAAUGUUGGAUGUUCUUCUUAUGGAUGCCAAGAGAAGUACAAUCAAUUGAUGAAUACUCUCAAAGCAUACAUGAUAAUGAAGGAAGGGUCAAUACCAGAAUAAUUUGCUGGGAUCUUUGCUUCUCCUCCUACAACGCCAAGUGAUGCAGCUAGUAGACCCGUUUCACCGACGGAUGCAAGACGAUCUUCUGGUGCUAGUAAUCCCAGUGACAACCAUUGAGAUUCAUUUUAAUUGAAGUGAAUGUAUUAUGACAAUGCAAUAGAUGACUAAUAUAGAUGGUUAACUAUGUUCUAAUUUAGCUUGAUGACAUAUGAUACUACUCUGUCAUAGUA